AUACCUUUCUUAGAUUUUAGCUAAGAUCAAAUGCAAUAUCUGUUAUUAUCUAUUAUUAUCAGUUUAAUAUAUGAUAUAAAUAAUUAAAUUAAUUUUUUAUAAGAGAGAGUUUAUUAUAGCAAUUUGUUACUGGGGUUCUCAAGUGUCGCCCUUACGUUUCACUACUGCAUGACCUUAGCGUACCCUAA